AGAGCGAACGCUGGCGGCAGGCCUAAUACAUGCAAGUCGAACGGACCCUUCGGGGUUAGUGGCGGACGGGUGAGUAACACGUGGGAACGUGCCCUUUGGUUCGGAACAACUCAGGGAAACUUGAGCUAAUACCGAAUGUGCCCUUCGGGGGAAAGAUUUAUCGCCAUUGGAGCGGCCCGCGUCUGAUUAGCUAGUUGGUGAGGUAAAGGCUCACCAAGGCUUCGAUCAGUAGCUGGUCUGAGAGGAUGAUCAGCCACACUGGGACUGAGACACGGCCCAGACUCCUACGGGAGGCAGCAGUAGGGAAUCUUGCGCAAUGGGCGAAAGCCUGACGCAGCCAUGCCGCGUGAAUGAUGAAGGUCUUAGGAUUGUAAAAUUCUUUCAGCGGGACGAUAAUGACGGUACCCGCAGAAGAAGCCCCGGCUAACGUUCGUGCCAGCAGCCGC
rnacentral:rRNA from 1 species